rnacentral:rRNA from 1 species
UACGUAGGCAGCAAGCGUUGUUCGGAAUUACUGGGCGUAAAGAGUGUGUAGGCGGUGCUCUAAGUUCGGUGUGAAAUCUCCCGGCUCAACUGGGAGGGUGCGCCGAAAACUGGAGUGCUGGAGCGCGGGAGAGGAAAGCGGAAUUCCUGGUGUAGCGGUGAAAUGCGCAGAUAUCAGGAGGAACACCGAUGGCGAAGGCAGGUCUCCUGGGCCGAUGAUCUGACGC